GCACAAGCAGCGGAGCGUGUGGUUUAAUUCGUUGCUACACGAAGAACCUUACCUGGGUUUGACAUAUAGGUUGUAGGGAACUGAAAAGGGACCGACCCUUCGGGGAGCCUAUACAGGUGUUGCAUGGCUGUCGUCAGCCCGUGUCGUGAGAUGUUCGGUUAAGUCCGCUAGCGAGCGCAACCCUCGCUGUGUGUUACAAGUGUCACACGGAACUGCCGGUCAUAAACCGGAGGAAGGUGGGAUGACGUCAAGUCAGCAUGGCCUUUAUAUCCUGGGCUACACACACGCUACAAUGGGAAGGGACAAUAGGUUGCGAAGCCGCGAGGCGGAGCCAAUCCAGCAAAACUUCCCUCAGUUCAGAUUGCAGGCUGCAACUCGCCUGCAUGAAGUUGGAGUUGCUAGUAAACGCAGGUCAGCCAUACUGCGUUGAAUACGUUCCCGGGGCUU
rnacentral:rRNA from 1 species